rnacentral:lncRNA from 1 species
AAUUUGCCACUUUGAAAUACAUUAUAUACUACUACCUUUAUAAUUUUUAUAUUGUUUGAACCCAUUUAGUAAAAAGGUAAUAAAAGUACACAUUAACUUUUAAUUUAAAGAAGUAUUCAGAAUUUUAGUGUGUCCAAGCAUCAAGAUUAUUAUUGACUUAGCACUUUGAAAAGAUUUUAAAGACUAUGUUAGAAAUGCAUUUUCAUGAGUUAAACAUUUCUCAUUUUAUUCUUCAAGGAAUGCAAAGACCUGAGGUAAACACAGACUUUAUAAGCAUUAUUAAGAUAUAUAACCGUAAAGGUAUUUUAAACCGUCACUUUGUUUCUUUUAAAUUUCUUCCAACUAAAGACUAUACUAAAAUAUUCUUAUCUAUAGACUGUAGAAUUUCCAAAGGAUAAAAUUUAAUUUCUUGAUGAUAAAAAAUCAUGUUGUUGUCUUUCUGAUUUCUCUCCAUACCAUUGCCCUAGCAUGAAUGACUGUAAUUACAGUGACUACACGUGACAACACAUAUAAUGAUCAUACUUCUGGUAAUAUAAAUUUGACAUUUUUGAAAUGAUGUCUUGAUUUCAUUUUAUCUCCUUUGCCUUUUGUGUUUCUGUAGUCUUUCUUGAUCUAUUAAGAUUUUCUAAUUGUAUUAAUAACAAAAUGCGUUAUAUGAAGAUUGUUUUCAAAGGGCCUUGUUUAGCCUUUUGAUCAUGUAAAAUAUGUUAAGCUUGCUAUAACUUGAUAUUUCAGUUACUUAAUAUUGUACUGUUAAAUAACUGAAAGUCUUGAGUAUUAUAAAUAAAACUUGAUGGAUUUUCAGGUCAUCUGUCAGGAAAUUUUCCAUCAUGGAAAAGAAAAGGAUUAUAGUGUAACAGGAUAUUUAGAAUAUUAGCUCUCUGGAGUUAUUCAUAAUCCAUUAGUAUUAAACCUAUUUAAUAAUGCAAAAAAUAACUUAUGGACCUUACCCAAAAUAUGUCAUAAUUGAAAUGUAAGACUGGACUACAUUGUAUGUGUCUAUUGCUUUUGAACACUGCAGCUUCUUUUCCUUGACAUUUUUUAAGGGAGAAAGGGUUUAUGUAUUCUCACAGUUCUGUAGCACUGUCUAUAACACUGGAGAGAUUACAGCAGCAGGGACCUCACGGAUGUGAUCACAUUAGAUACGUAGUCAAGACUAGAGAGACUAACAAAUGGAUGUGUGCUCAUCUUAAGCUUUCGCUCUCCACCCCAGCCACAACUAAGAUGGGACUCCUACGACAAUUAACAGCAUCAAAAUAAUCCCCUAUGGACCCUAGCCAUCGUUCUGGUGAUGUUAGAUUUUGUUCAGUUGAGAAUGAAUACUAAUCAUUACAGUAUGCAUUCUACAAAGUUCAGGGAUGAAAGAUCUCUUAUAACUGUGCUGCUUUAUGAUGUACAAAGUUCUCAUAAAUAGUUUGUGUUAUCAUCUUCAUUUUACAUUUGAGAAAUAUGAAAUGCUAGGAAGUUUAUGUGAUUUUCCUAAAAUCAUAAUUUUACAAGUGGUUGGGUUUGGUGUAGUUGAAAAAUCCUUCCAGAAUCCUGAUGAUACUUUAAGCAUAAUACACUAUUAUAAUGUUAUGAGAGGCAGAGACCUAGACAUGUCAGUCUCACCAAAUCUGAAUUUGUGUACUAGAAUAGACUAUUUCCUUGAUUAUUAAUCACCCCUGAAAUUGUUCUAGAAAUUCUUGCAACAAUGGCUAUAAAUGGUCUAUAAGAAGAGUAUUUCAAAACCUUCCAGAUCUGUUCAGUGGUCCAGAAAGAGGUUUUAAGAAUACAUAUCCCCCAGUCGGGUGUGGUCGCGCACGCCUUUAAUCUCAGCACUUGGGGGGCAGAAGCAGGCAGAUUUCUGAGUUUGAGGCCAGCCUGGUCUACAAAGUGAGUUCCAGGACAGCCAGGGAUAUACAGAGAAACCCUGUCUCGAAAAACCAAAAAAAAAAAAAAAAAAAAAAAAAAAAGAAAGAAAGAAAGAAUACAUAUCCCAGCCCCAAUGAGCAUAAAAUAUUCUUAUUUAUGUUGGAAACUAAAAAUAAGACUGAUAUAUUUAUACCUUCAAUUGCUCCUGAGGUAGUUGGAAUUAUCCACUAGAAAUAUCUUCUAGAGUAAACAAAAAGGUAAUUAUUUUUCUCAAGUCACCAUCAUUUUUCAAUAUAAAUUUUGUAUUAUAUUAAAUAUAUAAUUUUAAAUUGUUAUUUUUUGAGAUUAUAAAUACAUUAUUUUCCCCUUCCCUUUCAUUCCUUCAAACCCUCUCAUUUGGCCCUCCUUGCUCUCUUUCAAACUCAUGACUUCCCUUUUCAUGAAUUGUUGUUCCAUACAUAUAUGUAUUAGUAAAUACUUAAAC